rnacentral:rRNA from 1 species
CCUACGGGAGGCAGCAGUAGGGAAUCUUUCACAAUGGGCGAAAGCCUGAUGGAGCAACGCCGCGUGCAGGAUGAAGGCCUUCGGGUUGUAAACUGCUUUUAUAAGCGAGAAAUAUGAUGGUAACUUAUGAAUAAGGAUCGGCUAACUACGUGCCAGCAGCCGCGGUCAUACGUAGGAUCCGAGCAUUAUCCGGAGUGACUGGGUGUAAAGAGUUGCGUAGGUGGCAUAAUAAGUAGCUAGUGAAAUCUGGUGGCUCAACCAUUCAGACUAUUAGCUAAACUAUUAAGCUCGAGACCGUUAGGGGUAACUGGAAUUUCUAGUGUAGGAGUGAAAUCCGUAGAGAUUAGAAGGAACACCAAUAGCGUAGGCAGGUUGCUGGGACGGUUCUGACACUAAGGCACGAAAGCGUAGGGAGCAAACGGGAUUAGAUACCCGGGUAGUC